rnacentral:tRNA from 1 species
CCUUCGAUAGCUCAGUUGGCAGAGCGGAGGACUGUAGAUGAGCACAGCAGCAGCUGACAUCCUUAGGUCGCUGGUUCAACUCCGGCUCGAAGGA